rnacentral:misc_RNA from 1 species
GGGGUUCCUUAUUUGAUUUCUUUUGGCUUGGUCACCUAAAAUUUCUCCCAAUUUCUGCAGUGCGAAAAAUCAAUUAAUUAGCUUACGAUACAUAUUUACCCGCUGCAGCCACAACUGCUGCCGACACCACCGUCACCACCAAACGCAACAACCUCUAGGGAGUGCUUCACCUGCAGGUGACAAUCCUAACUUAGAGGACAUUGAGGAUAAGGCUGGCAAUUUUUGAUAAGGACUCCUUGGUGAUUUCAUCAAUAUCCCUGUUGUCACGCCCUUUUUUUCCUUUGUUUACCCUGUACAAGAAACCAAGAAAACGAAUUUCACUCCCAUCAAUAAGACACGAAAUUAAUUUCAGGAGAACGCAAACCCAAUAUUUUGUACUUAGAAGUGCCCAAACCCAAUGUUGGCAACACCUUAGCUUUGCCAAUUUUCUAAUGCACGCGAUCUUUUAAGCAAAUUUCUGAGUUUGGUUUCAAGUGAAAACUCAAUUCCUUGAAAUGCUGUAAUUGCUUUUAUCCUCCCUUUCUCCUGCUUGAUUAUUCCAGCGUAAGUCACAUUCUCAAGAUUCAUUUGCAGCAGCUUUCAUUUCCCUCGCUUUGUCUCUUCUACCUCCAUAAAGCUGCAGUCGGGCCGAUUCUCUUGUUGUACCUCCAUCUUUCUUACUGUAUGUUCACGCUGCG